rnacentral:rRNA from 1 species
CGUAGGCGGCCUGCUAAGUCACACGUGAAAUCCCUCGGCUCAACCGGGGAACUGCGUGUGAUACUGGCGGGCUUGAAUUCGGGAGAGGGAUGUGGAAUUCCAGGUGUAGCGGUGAAAUGCGUAGAUAUCUGGAGGAACACCGGUGGCGAAGGCGACAUCCUGGACCGGUAUUGACGCUGAGGCGCGAAAGCCAGGGAGCAAACG